rnacentral:rRNA from 1 species
CAGCCGCCGCGGGAAUACAGAGGGUGCAAGCGUUAAUCGGAAUUACUGGGCGUAAAGCGUGCGCAGGCGGUUAUAUAAGACAGAUGUGAAAUCCCCGGGCUCAACCUGGGAACUGCAUUUGUGACUGUAUAGCUAGAGUACGGCAGAGGGGGAUGGAAUUCCGCGUGUAGCAGUGAAAUGCGUAGAUAUGCGGAGGAACACCGAUGGCGAAGGCAAUCCCCUGGGCCUGUACUGACGCUCAUGCACGAAAGCGUGGGGAGCAAACAGGAUUAGAUACCCGAGUAGUCCCUGUCUCUUAUAA